CUACUUCACACUUGGAAAUUUUCAUCCACACCAACGAUCAACUGUUGAUCAGAUACAGUUGGCAUUACUCUGUGUAGAGAAAGAUUGCAAAUACUUUGGAAUGGAUAAGAUUUUCAAUAAGCUAGUGUCAGACUUGUGUGAGCUGGAGGAAAGGGGCAUAUCUUUCAAUGGAAAGAUAUAUAAAGGCACUGUUGCGUGCAUAAUGGGAGAUAAUCUGGGCUCCCACAUGAUUGGUGGCUUUACAGAAAAUUUCAGCACAGCUCAAUAUUUCUGCAGAUACUGUUUGGCAACAAAAAGUGAAUUUCAGUCGAACCCUCUCAGUUUUCACUCAUAGAAAUCCAGCUGAUCAUAAUGAGCUUUCAUGAAGGGACUGAUUGAACUGUAUGUGGAAUUGAGGCAAGAGUUAUUUCCAAGAGUUAGACCGAAACACCACUAUCUGCUUCACUAUGCACACCUGACUUUACAAUUUGGCCCACUCAUAUAUACUUGGACAAUGUGCUUUGAAUCAAAACAUUCUUAUUUUAAAAGGUGCAUUAGGGCAAGUAAGAACUUCAUAAAUGUAACCAAGUCUCUGGCUGAACGGCACCAGUUGCUUCAGGCUUAUCAGUCUUGUGGUACCUUGUUUAGUCCCCAGGUUCAUGUCUCAGACUCAACACGGUUCUAUCCAGAGCUCUAUGACCAGAACAUAAAGACAGUGGUUGAAGAAUUUGAUUUGAACUCAAGUAACUCAGUUGUCACAGAGAGAGUGCAGGUUAAAGGCACUACAUAUGCAAAUGGAAUGCUAGUCUUACUGAGCUAUGCCAAAGGCCAACUGCAGUUAGGACAAAUAGCAAGCAUUUUUGUAAAAAAUGAAACUACUGUCCUACUUUUGCUUCGGGGGAAAACUGCCAGCUGGGUACCUGAGCUUGGACUCUAUGAAAUUGAUGAAAAUGCUUCUGACCUGUUCAGUUGCCAUGAUUUGAACAAAAUUUAUGAUUAUCAUCCACUUUAUUCUUACCAGAGAGGUACUCGGUGUCUCAUUCCUCUUAAACACACACCAACAUGGAACUUGUGAAAAACUAUGUCAAGAAAGCAAUGCCAUCGCUCAGUAGCGAUCAGAUGGAUACACUAAUGGCUAAACUGGAGGAAUUAGGAGUUCUCUCUGUAGAUGACCUGAGCCUUGUGGACCCAGAGGACAUUAAGGCACUCUGCCAUUCAUUCAGUGCAAAAGAUUCGUCAGAGCUGUCAAAGCAUUGGAAGCAGGUCCAUUUGUAUUCCUGGUGGACCCAAACUGGACAUUGAGGACCAAUGUAUUAAUUGAUUCGUAACAAUCGUGAUGUGUUUAAUUUAUGGAGAUGUGUGUCAUGUCAUCCAUAGAUUCACAAGCUCCACCGCAGUUUACCAGGCCUGGCCCCUCAUCAACACCUGAGCCACAGAGGUUACAGCUGCCCUCAACACCACCUGAGACAGCCGACUCCCCAUCCCAAGACACAUAUUCUGUUCCAUGGCACAAAUUUCCCUCAAAAGUCAUGGAUGACUUGCAUGAAAAGAAGUACAUAAUGGGGAAAGACAGACGAGAGAUGGUUCGGAUCGUCGCUGAAGAUUACCUCCACAAACACCCAGGAAGACCUGGUAGACAAAAGCUGAGGGAACUCGCCAGUAUGAUUGUAGGACAAUAUCCUGCCUCCUUCAAGCUGACAGAGCCAUUUGGAAACGAACCUUUUGCAAAAGAUGGUUCUGAAACUGUCUUUCGUCAGCUGGAACACAGAAUUGAAAAUAUGAAGAGGCCACAAAGCUCACUGAGGAGGCGAGCAGGGGGUGAAAAUUCAACAAAGAAAAGGCCCAGGAAUUCAGAUCUGUAUGGAUGUGUGGCGUGGGAUCCAAUCAUUGAGGGGACUGUGUGUAGAGAAGACCUGCUGUCUAAACGAGAUGACUUGAAACGUGCCUUUCAAACCCGGGAUCUUCAGGAACUUUCCAAAAAAGAAAAGGGGAUCAAUGACUUCCUUGACUCCAAAGGGAUGAAGAUGGGCGAAGGUCCAAUACAGCUCAUCUGUG
ensembl:lncRNA